rnacentral:rRNA from 1 species
GACGGAGGAUGCAAGCGUUAUCCGGAAUGAUUGGGCGUAAAGCGUCCGCAGGUGGCUGUGUAAGUCUGCUGUUAAAGAGUGAGGCUCAACCUCAUAAAAGCAGUGGAAACUACACAGCUAGAGUGCGUUCGGGGCAGAGGGAAUUCCUGGUGUAGCGGUGAAAUGCGUAGAGAUCAGGAAGAACACCGGUGGCGAAGGCGGGUAGCUGGGCCGACACUGACGCUGAGGCGCGAAAGCCAGGGGAGCGAACGGG